GGUUAAGCGACUAAGCGUACACGGUGGAUGCCCUGGCAGUCAGAGGCGAUGAAGGACGUGCUAAUCUGCGAUAAGCGUCGGUGAGGUGAUAUGAACCGUUAUAACCGGCGAUUUCCGAAUGGGGAAACCCAGUGUGUUUCGACACACUAUCAUUAACUGAAUCCAUAGGUUAAUGAGGCGAACCGGGGAACUGAAACAUCUAAGUACCCCGAGGAAAAGAAAUCAACCGAGAUUCCCCCAGUAGCGGCGAGCGAACGGGGAGGAGCCCAGAGCCUGAAUCAGUGUGUGUGUUAGUGGAAGCGUCUGGAAAGGCGUGCGAUACAGGGUGACAGCCCCGUACACAAAAAUGCACAUAUUGUGAGCUCGAUGAGUAGGGCGGGACACGUGGUAUCCUGUCUGAAUAUGGGGGACCAUCCUCCAAGGCUAAAUACUCCUGACUGACCGAUAGUGAACCAGUACCGUGAGGGAAAGGCGAAAAGAACCCCGGCGAGGGGAGUGAAAAAGAACCUGAAACCGUGUACGUACAAGCAGUGGGAGCCUCUUAAUGGGGUGACUGCGUACCUUUUGUAUAAUGGGUCAGCGACUUAUAUUCUGUAGCAAGGUUAACCGAAUAGGGGAGCCGAAGGGAAACCGAGUCUUAACUGGGCGUUAAGUUGCAGGGUAUAGACCCGAAACCCGGUGAUCUAGCCAUGGGCAGGUUGAAGGUUGGGUAACACUAACUGGAGGACCGAACCGACUAAUGUUGAAAAAUUAGCGGAUGACUUGUGGCUGGGGGUGAAAGGCCAAUCAAACCGGGAGAUAGCUGGUUCUCCCCGAAAGCUAUUUAGGUAGCGCCUCGUGAAUUCAUCUCCGGGGUAGAGCACUGUUUCGGCAAGGGGUCAUCCCGACUUACCAACCCGAUGCAAACUGCGAAUACCGGAGAAUGUUAUCACGGGAGACACACGGCGGGUGCUAACGUCCGUCGUGAAGAGGGAAACAACCCAGACCGCCAGCUAAGGUCCCAAAGUCAUGGUUAAGUGGGAAACGAUGUGGGAAGGCCCAGACAGCCAGGAUGUUGGCUUAGAAGCAGCCAUCAUUUAAAGAAAGCGUAAUAGCUCACUGGUCGAGUCGGCCUGCGCGGAAGAUGUAACGGGGCUAAACCAUGCACCGAAGCUGCGGCAGCGACACUAUGUGUUGUUGGGUAGGGGAGCGUUCUGUAAGCCUGUGAAGGUGGCCUGUGAGGGUUGCUGGAGGUAUCAGAAGUGCGAAUGCUGACAUAAGUAACGAUAAAGCGGGUGAAAAGCCCGCUCGCCGGAAGACCAAGGGUUCCUGUCCAACGUUAAUCGGGGCAGGGUGAGUCGACCCCUAAGGCGAGGCCGAAAGGCGUAGUCGAUGGGAAACAGGUUAAUAUUCCUGUACUUGGUGUUACUGCGAAGGGGGACGGAGAAGGCUAUGUUGGCCGGGCGACGGUUGUCCCGGUUUAAGCGUGUAGGCUGGUUUUCCAGGCAAAUCCGGAAAACCAAGGCUGAGGCGUGAUGACGAGGCACUACGGUGCUGAAGCGACAAAUGCCCUGCUUCCAGGAAAAGCCUCUAAGCAUCAGGUAACAUCAAAUCGUACCCCAAACCGACACAGGUGGUCAGGUAGAGAAUACCAAGGCGCUUGAGAGAACUCGGGUGAAGGAACUAGGCAAAAUGGUGCCGUAACUUCGGGAGAAGGCACGCUGAUAUGUAGGUGAAGCGACUUGCUCGUGGAGCUGAAAUCAGUCGAAGAUACCAGCUGGCUGCAACUGUUUAUUAAAAACACAGCACUGUGCAAACACGAAAGUGGACGUAUACGGUGUGACGCCUGCCCGGUGCCGGAAGGUUAAUUGAUGGGGUUAGCGGCAACGCGAAGCUCUUGAUCGAAGCCCCGGUAAACGGCGGCCGUAACUAUAACGGUCCUAAGGUAGCGAAAUUCCUUGUCGGGUAAGUUCCGACCUGCACGAAUGGCGUAAUGAUGGCCAGGCUGUCUCCACCCGAGACUCAGUGAAAUUGAACUCGCUGUGAAGAUGCAGUGUACCCGCGGCAAGACGGAAAGACCCCGUGAACCUUUACUAUAGCUUGACACUGAACAUUGAGCCUUGAUGUGUAGGAUAGGUGGGAGGCUUUGAAGUGUGGACGCCAGUCUGCAUGGAGCCGACCUUGAAAUACCACCCUUUAAUGUUUGAUGUUCUAACGUUGGCCCGUAAUCCGGGUUGCGGACAGUGUCUGGUGGGUAGUUUGACUGGGGCGGUCUCCUCCUAAAGAGUAACGGAGGAGCACGAAGGUUGGCUAAUCCUGGUCGGACAUCAGGAGGUUAGUGCAAUGGCAUAAGCCAGCUUGACUGCGAGCGUGACGGCGCGAGCAGGUGCGAAAGCAGGUCAUAGUGAUCCGGUGGUUCUGAAUGGAAGGGCCAUCGCUCAACGGAUAAAAGGUACUCCGGGGAUAACAGGCUGAUACCGCCCAAGAGUUCAUAUCGACGGCGGUGUUUGGCACCUCGAUGUCGGCUCAUCACAUCCUGGGGCUGAAGUAGGUCCCAAGGGUAUGGCUGUUCGCCAUUUAAAGUGGUACGCGAGCUGGGUUUAGAACGUCGUGAGACAGUUCGGUCCCUAUCUGCCGUGGGCGCUGGAGAACUGAGGGGGCUGCUCCUAGUACGAGAGGACCGGAGUGGACGCAUCACUGGUGUUCGGGUUGUCAUGCCAAUGGCACUGCCCGGUAGCUAAAUGCGGAAGAGAUAAGUGCUGAAAGCAUCUAAGCACGAAACUUGCCCCGAGAUGAGUUCUCCCUGACUCCUUGAGAGUCCUGAAGGAACGUUGAAGACGACGACGUUGAUAGGCCGGGUGUGUAAGCGCAGCGAUGCGUUGAGCUAACCGGUACUAAUGAACCGUGAGGCUUAACCUU
rnacentral:rRNA from 1 species